rnacentral:ncRNA from 1 species
CUAUGACUGAAAAAAGUCAUGGCGGAAGGAG